rnacentral:rRNA from 1 species
UACGUAGGGUGCAAGCGUUGUCCGGAAUUAUUGGGCGUAAAGAGCUUGUAGGCGGUUUGUCGCGUCGGAUGUGAAAACUCAGGGCUUAACCCUGAGCGUGCUUUCGAUACGGGCAGACUAGAGGAAGUUAGGGGAGAACGGAAUUCCUGGUGGAGCGGUGGAAUGCGCAGAUAUCAGGAGGAACACCAGUGGCGAAGGCGGUUCUCUGGGACUUUCCUGACGCUGAGAAGCGAAAGCAUGGGGAUCAAACAGG